rnacentral:rRNA from 1 species
AGUGAACGCUGGCGGUAGGCCUAACACAUGCAAGUCGAACGGCAGCACAGUAAGAGCUUGCUCUUACGGGUGGCGAGUGGCGGACGGGUGAGGAAUACAUCGGAAUCUACUUUUUCGUGGGGGGUAACGUAGGGAAACUUACGCUAAUACCGCAUACGACCUACGGGUGAAAGCAGGGGAUCUUCGGACCUUGCGCGAUUGAAUGAGCCGAUGUCGGAUUAGCUAGUUGGCGGGGUAAAGGCCCACCAAGGCGACGAUCCGUAGCUGGUCUGAGAGGAUGAUCAGCCACACUGGAACUGAGGCACGGUCCAGACUCCUACGGGAGGCAGCAGUGGGGAAUAUUGGACAAAGGGCGCAAGCCUGAUCCAGCCAUACCGCGUGGGUGAAGAAGGCCUUCGGGUUGUAAAGCCCUUUUGUUGGGAAAGAAAAGCAGCAGGUUAAUACCCCGCUGUUCUGACGGUACCCAAAGAAUAAGCACCGGCUAACUUCGUG